rnacentral:rRNA from 1 species
AACCUGGUUGAUCCUGCCAGUAGUCAUAUGCUUGUCUCAAAGAUUAAGCCAUGCAUGUCUCAGUAUAAGUCUUUAUAUGGCUAAACUGCGAAUGGCUCAUUAAAACAGUUAUAGUUUACAUGAUGUUCGACUGUUAUAUGGAUAACUGUGGUAAUUCUAGAGCUAAUACAUGCACUAAAGCCCGACUUCUCGGAAGGGCUGUAUUUAUUAGAUACAGAACCAAUACCUUCGGGUUUUUUGGAUGAUUCAUAAUAAACGUACGGAGCGUGUCAGUUUGUACUGGCGCUAAAUCAUUCAAGUUUCUGACCUAUCAGCUUCCGACGGUAGGGUAUUGGCCUACCGUGGCAUUGACGGGUAACGGAGAAUUAGGGUUCGAUUCCGGAGAGGGAGCCCGAGAAACGGCUACCACAUCUACGGAAGGCAGCAGGCGCGC